GCUAAAAGGAACGAUCGUUGUGAUAUGAGUUGUUUCCUAACAUAUCACAGUGAUUUUCCUUUAUAACGC
rnacentral:pre_miRNA from 15 species